ACACGUAUGAAAGUCAAGCUGAAAGACUUUACUCAAUGAUGUAAGUGGUGGUGCAUGGUCGUUCGUAGUUCGUGGAUUGAUUUGUCUGGUCUAUUCCGAUAACGAGCGAGACCCCAACGUUCCUAAUAGGGGCUUCAGCCCGGCUGGUCGCAAGAUCGGUUAGCUUGUUGCCUAGGAUUAGCUUCUUAGACGUAUCAGAGCCGAUAAGGUUCUUGAAAUGGGUUAAUAACAGGUCAGUCAUGCCCUUAGAUGUUCUGGGCCGCACGCGCGUUACAAUGGCAUGAAAAGAAAGUGCUUCAAAAGGCGUUUCCGGGGCCGAAAGGUCCUGGUAACCCUUAAUCCCUGCCUUGACUGGGAUAGAUCUUUGCAAUUAUUGGUCUCUAACGAGGAAUUUUUAGUAAUCGUAGGUCAUUAACCUGCGAUGA
rnacentral:rRNA from 1 species